UGUGAAGUAAUGGGUUAUACACUGAUGGAAUCACAAUAUUAGGGGAUGCAGGCAACAUUCAGUACCACCCUGAUGAAAAAAAUGCACAGGGACCACUCA